AGAGUUGAUCAUGGCUCAGAAUGAACGCUGGCGGCAUGGAUUAGGCAUGCAAGUCGAACGUGCUCCCUUCGGGGAGAAAGUGGCGAAAGGGUGAGUAACACGUGAGCAACCUGCCUCCGGAUCCGGAAUAAUCCAGGGAAACUUGGUCUAAAACCGGAUGAAGACAUUGGUCCGCAUGGUCUAAUGUUAAAAUAUUUAUAGUCCGGAGAGGGGCUCGCGGCCCAUUAGCUUGUUGGCGGGGUAAUGGCCCACCAAGGCUACGACGGGUAGGUGGUCUGAGAGGAUGGUCACCCACACUGGGACUGAGACACUGCCCAGACUCCUACGGGAGGCUGCAGUCGAGAAUCUUCCGCAAUGGGCGCAAGCCUGACGGAGCGAUGCCGCGUGAGGGAUGAAGGCCUUCGGGUUGUAAACCUCUGUCAUCCGGGACGAAAACAAUGACGGUACCGGAAAAGGAAGCCACGGCUAACCACGUGCCAGCCGCUGC
rnacentral:rRNA from 1 species